ensembl:lncRNA
GUAAAAAUGAAAUGCUUUCAUUGUACAUUUCAACAACAGUGUGGUUCAUGACACUACACAAUGCAGACUCCAUGUGUUUCUUGUGAUGUGAACGAUUGCAACGAAUAAGGUAUCUGCCACGUUUCCUGUUUGUAACCGAAAACGUCGAAAGACGAUAAAAAUAGCAGCAACACUUGUGCACUUCUUGCUGAACAUGGUCACGUACAGGUGAAAGGUUUUAUCAGACAAGGAUUUAUUGGACAUUUGACACUAUUAAAUCAUGGGGACAGUAACAUCUCAGUGUGCAAGUCAACAUGUUGCUAUUGGUCUGACAUCGAUUGCACUGCUGAUAUCUGUGUGCUUAAAUGUUGCAUUCUAUUUAAUAAGAAGAAAGGGAAAAAAAUAUGCAGUUAAUGAAAACAUGUUGGAAUAUGAAGAUGAGCCAUUACAUCAAGAUUCACUUCGGUCUUACAGGUUUGAGGAUGAUGAAAUGGAAAGACAAGAAAAUCCGAUUUAUGGAAAUAUAUGUUUAGAGGGAGGAGGAGCUUUUGAAAUCUCUCAGGAGGUGUGCUAUGAACAAAUGUCACAUGCAAACACAGCAAAGCAGGGAUUAAAGGUCCAGCCAGGGGACGUGUCCUAUGCUUCUCUUGAUCUGACUGCCAAUAAAAAGCGUAGGAAGAAGAGAAAAUACCAAAAACAGGCUCAGACUCACCAGGCCCAGACACAUCCUCAACCUGCAUCCCAGCAGAUCUGCAUGGACCAGGAUGACGAGCCUGAUGUCACCCUCCCGUCCCGGAGCAGCAGCCUUCUGAUUUCACGUCACAGCAUCUACCUCAACAGUCAUCAAGUAGCCCUGGAGGCAGAAGAGAGGGAGAGGGAGAGGGAGAGAGAGAGGGAGAGAGAGAUGGAAAUUGAAAGAGAAAGAGAAAGAGAUGAUAAUGUAGAGAGAGAGUUUGAUAUGCACAGAAAUGUGCAUGAAGGCUUUGAUCACUCCCUCGGUAGAUCAAGACAAAGUCUAAAACUGGACAGUUAA